rnacentral:rRNA from 1 species
CAACACGACUCUCGGCAACGGAUAUCUCGGCUCUCGCAUCGAUGAAGAACGUAGCAAAAUGCGAUACCUGGUGUGAAUUGCAGAAUCCCGCGAACCAUCGAGUUUUUGAACGCAAGUUGCGCCCAAAGCCUUCUGGCCGAGGGCACGUCUGCCUGGGCGUCAUGC